rnacentral:pre_miRNA from 8 species
GGAGAGGCUGUGCUGUGGGGCAGGCGCUGGCCUGGGUGGCCUGAGCCCUGAUUUUGGGCUGCCUGGGUAUCUGGCCCGUGCGUGACCUUGGGGCGGCU